rnacentral:rRNA from 1 species
GCAGAAGAUCCGGCGGAAGUACGCGGGUUGCGCUUGGAUAGCGGCGAGCACAUCUUCGUGCGUCUGGUACGUAAGCACGUCGCGUUCAAGAAAUUCGUCGAUCGCUAGUUGAAGUUCCUCCACAGAUACCCGUUCCACCUUCAGAUCCAUCUGGCGGACACUCUUGAGGGUGCGAGUGAAUUCCUCAUCCGGAAGGAGGGCAGAGUCGGCGGUAAAACCAGAAACAGGCGUCGUCAUCCCGUCAUCUUCAACAAGUUCGGCUUCCAAGUCUGCAUCUGGCGGAAGCGACUCGUCAAAGCCUUCAUCGGCCAGGACUCGGUACGUGUUGGGCGUAACGGGGAUCGAAUAGACCAGCGCAUGGGGGUCCGAGGAGUCUUCAGAGAGCUCACACGGCAUGGCGCCGGGUGGCUCGAUGAACUUCCCACCUCCACGAUUCACGAUACCGUAUUGCGAAUGUUGAACCAGCUUCCACUCGGGGUCCGACCGGGCGUUGACCGAUCCUAGGAUCACUCGGUGGAUUUGCGACUCCGCGGCCUGAGAGCGGGGGCGGCCGGAUGACGUACGAGACGGGACAUCCGAAGAAUCCAGCGCUGAUGAGACAGCUGAAGAAUCCAGUGACGACGAAGAGACAGUCGGGUAGGUCUGCGACGACGACGCACCGGAGGGAUCCAGUGGUGGCGAGACACGCGAGGAAUCAAGCGGUGGCGCAGCCGCCUCGUCAGAACCGCGCAUACUGGCAUCAGACACUGCCGAAGCCUUGCGAGGUGAUUGGCGAAGCGAUGGGGGUUUCACACGGUUGAGGCGGAAGAGCCGGUGCUGUACAAAGCAGGGUUUCUCCCCAUCCGUGAAGUAGAUCUCCCGGAGCGGUUCACCGUUGGGCUCAAAGAGCGCGUCCGGGCAUUGGACAGCGUUGAAAUACACCGUGCGUGCGCGGGAAAUCAACUGACCAACGCCAAGAGACGGCGUAAUCAGGAUAGGACGAGCACCACGGGCGACGAACCAGUCGUAGAUCGCGAGGUCCGUAGUAUCAGCCGGUAGACGCCUCAAGUCCACGUAGUACAGCUUGUCGUAGCUGGAGUAGCGUCGGAUCGCAACAGAUUGUCCACAGAUCGUCAGCUCGACCCCUCCAAGGCGUUGAAGUACUUGGUCGGAGGUGCAGACGAAGGAGAUGCCGUUGCGCGGGGAGGUGUUGAAAUCCCGAAGAUGGGGCUUGGCAUCUCGCCACACCUGCGGUUGGCUAUCCGAGUCCAGCGACGCGAGCACCUCACGUAGGGUGUGCUCGGCAGCGACGCGGCCAGCUGGGAUCCACAUCUGCGUGCAUUGCGUCUGCUCGACAGGGGUGGGAAGGGGCGCAAGCGCUGCAAAUCGGCGGUCGACGUCGGUAGAGGACGCAUCACAGAGCCGGUUCAGACUGGCUCGAAACAAGGAGUCGUCAGGCAUCAAGCGCGGGGGUGGCGGCUUGCGCCGGUCACCGGGGCGCGAUGGGGCCGGUCGCGGGGGCGUGCGGUCGUGGGGCGGAGCGGGCAUGGUGCUCCGCGCGGACGAAGUGAACGGGUCGCUUGGCUGCGGCCUUGCGGGUGGUGGAGGCUCAACUACCGUGUAUGCCCAAUCUACUCCACGUAGAUGAAGGCUUUGCAGCGGGCUACGUCUAGAACGUCUUAGCGUUCCGUUUGGCAACCCACACUACACUGUAUUUGAGGCAACCCCAGUCAAGACCUUGCGGCAAAGACUUAGCGCACGAGCUCUUGUCGUCCAGCAGGGAUGAGCCCACAGAAAACUGUAGGCGCCUAACUGUCUGGGCAACGCAAGCAGCGGUAGCAAGGCGUGAGCAGCAGCAGCAACCGAACACGGGUACGGCGGCGACGGCGACGGAGACUGGAGGUAGAUGACAGUACUCCGCGAAGAGGACUGGCAGCGACGACGGCAGUGGAGGGCGUGACAGCGGUGACAGCACUCUGCGAAGAGGAACUGACAGCAGCGGUGACGGCGAGUAGCGAGGCAGCGGCGACAGCACUCCGUGAAGAGGGACUGGCGGCAGCGGCGACGGGGAGCUCGGGCAGCGGACGACAGCACUCCGUGAAGAGGGACUGGCGGCAGCGGCGACGGGGAGCUCGGGCAGCGGACGACAGCACUCCGUGGAGAGGUCUGACGGCGGCGGCGGCGGCGGUGUCUGCGCGAACGAAGACGGGGCGAGGUCGAGAUCGAUGUGAGCUCGACAGGGUAAAAUCCGGAAUGGGGGAGUUUGACUGGGGCGGCACAUCUGUUAAAUGAUAACACAGGUGUCCUAAGGUGAGCUCAAUGAGAACAGAAAUCUCAUGUAGAACAAAAGGGUAAAAGCUCACUUGAUUUUGAUUUUCAGUAUGAAUACAAACCGUGAAAGCGUGGCCUAUCGAUCCUUUAGUUCUUUAGAAUUUUAAGCUAGAGGUGUCAGAAAAGUUACCACAGGGAUAACUGGCUUGUGGCAGCCAAGCGUCCAUAGCGACGUUGCUUUUUGAUUCUUCGAUGUCGGCUCUUCCUAUCAUUGCGAAGUAGAACUCGCCAAUUGUUGGAUUGUUCACCCACUAAUAGGGAACGUGAGCUGGGUUUAGACCGUCGUGAGACAGGUUAGUUUUACCCUACUGAUGAGUUCGUUGUCUAAACAGUAAUCCAACCCAGUACGAGAGGAACCGUUGGUUCAGAUAAUUGGUAACUGCGGUUAGCUGAAAAGCUAGUGCCGCCAAGCUACCAUCUGUAGGAUUAUGGCUGAACGCCUCUAAGUCAGAAUCCAUGCUGGAAUAGACGAUAAUCACCUUUCCCGAUGUGCCGCGAAUAGCGAUAGGUGUCUUCUGGGCACCCAACAUCAUACAAUUGCAACGCACUCCGCUGCCUGUCAAGUGCUGGCGGUGGAGAGUAGGCUGACUUGUAAUUUCAAAUAUUGGGAAAGAUAAAUCC